rnacentral:rRNA from 1 species
CAGUAGCCGCGGUAAUACGAAGGGUGCAAGCGUUAAUCGGAAUUACUGGGCGUAAAGCGUGCGUAGGCGGUGAGUUAAGUCUGCUGUGAAAUCCCCGGGCUCAACCUGGGAAUGGCAGUGGAUACUGGCUCGCUAGAGUGUGUCAGAGGAUGGUGGAAUUCCCGGUGUAGCGGUGAAAUGCGUAGAGAUCUGGAGGAAUACCGAUGGCGAAGGCAGCCAUCUGGCCUAAUACUGACGCUGAGGUACGAAAGCAUGGGGAGCAAACAGGAUUAGAUACCCCAGUAGUCCCUGUCUCUUAUAC